rnacentral:lncRNA from 1 species
UCCAAGGAGGAAGAGGCAUCGAGUUCUGCUUAAGAGAAGACCUUGCAGCUUCAACCAUAACUUGAAGGAAUUGUUUCAGUUUGCUCAAAGAGCCCACAUAAACAACAGGAAGGGAAUUCAAAAUUAUGUCAUAGGAGUCCAUAGCUCUAGCUAUUUCAAAGUCACUCCUAAAGUCGAUAUCUAUGAUCAAACGUUCAGGACUUCGACUAUCAUUGUAAUUGACCAC